rnacentral:rRNA from 1 species
UACGUAGGGAGCAAGCGUUAUCCGGAUUUACUGGGUGUAAAGGGCGUGUAGGCGGGCAUGCAAGCCAGAAGUGAAAUCUGGGGGCUUAACCCCCAAACUGCUUUUGGAACUGCGUGUCUUGAGUGAUGGAGAGGCAGGCGGAAUUCCCAGUGUAGCGGUGAAAUGCGUAGAUAUUGGGAGGAACACCAGUGGCGAAAGCGGCUCUCUGGUCUGUAACUGACGCUGAGGUUCGAAAGCGUGGGUAGCAAACAGG